AUGGACCACGCGUCUACUGCGGUUGUGAGCGCGCCGUCCGCGUCCACCUGACAGCUGCUCGCUACGUUGUGUUAGCC
rnacentral:sRNA from 1 species